rnacentral:rRNA from 1 species
UGGAUUAGGCAUGCAAGUCGAGCGAGAAGUUCCUUCGGGAACGGACAGCGGCGAAAGGGAGAGGAAUACGUAGAAAUCUACCCCUGAGACUGGGAUAGCGUCGGGAAACUGGCAGUAAUACCGGAUAAUGUCUUAGGACCAAAGGUGUGAUUCCGCUUGGGGAUGAGUCUACGCCCUAUUAGCUAGUUGGUGGGGUAAUGGCCUACCAAGGCAAUGAUGGGUAGCGGGUGUGAGAGCAUGAUCCGCCUCACUGGGACUGAGAACUGCCCAGACACCUACGGGUGGCUGCAGUCGAGAAUCUUUGUCAAUGGACGAAAGUCUGAACAAGCGACGCCGCGUGCGGGAUGAAGGCCUUCGGGUUGUAAACCGC